GGCCUCUUAGUUAAAUGGAUAUUACUGCCCCCUCCCAAGGGGCAGUUUCAGGUUCGUUUCCUGCAGGGGUUACCA
rnacentral:tRNA from 1 species